AAUCAAUUCAUGUAUUACUGGUAUCAAAUAUCUCACAUGAAUCUAGUCCUAACACAUUAAGAUUUAAAUAGCCAGAUUCUAUUCCAAGCAUCCAGGGCAUUUUUGAGCUUAAAAACAUUUCUACACCUCCCAGAUUUCAACGUAAUUGCUCAUUUGCUCUAUUAGUUUCUACUCCUACAGAAUUAAUUUACAUCACCUCAUUUAUCCAGAUUUCAACCCUCCAGAACUCUCAAGCAACCAGAGCAUCUCAUACUCUGAUAGUUCAAAAUAAAAGAAAGCAAGAAACAGUAAUAAAAAGGCAAAAGUUAACCAAACAAUUAAAAAGAGAAACAGCCCGAAGAAUAACUGAACACACAACUUCUGGAGGUUGUUAGAAGGCAAAAUUCUGGUUUUCUAAUGACCAGGCCUGGCCUUUUGCAUAAAGCUCAUAAAACAAUGGGGAAAGAAAAGAUGAUUGGAGAAAAAGAGCAAAGGAAAUGGGAAAUGGCUGUUGAUAAGGAGAAAACAGGAUGGGUCAGGGAGCCAGGCAGCGUCCACUUAGUAAAAAAAGAGAGCAGAGGCACCCAUCUGAGAGGAUCCGCCUCUCUGAAUGGGUCACUCAGGCUUCCACCAGCCCUGUGAGUGCCAACACCAGAGCAGGGUGUGCCCCUGCACCCAGAAUGCAGUCUGAGGACAACCAGUUCCCACUGUCACCUUGGGGGGAAGGCUGGGAGCCAGACCAGGCCAGGAGAGCCCUCAGACCUAAUUGUAAGUCUAAGCCCAGGGAGGAGACAGAGAGAAGGUUGGCUGAAAACAUCAUGAAAGGUGGGUUAGGCAAAGCCGUCAAGAAGUCCUUAGGCCAAAGGGGCAAAGAACGGAGCUCCAAGCGGUCCAAGAUUGGGUCUGUCUUCACGUUCUACCAUACGCAGUGGGCUAGGAGCAGCCGUGGGGGCCUGGCCUCAGUGCACCUCGGUGAUGGAUGUCAGAGUACAGUGGCUGGCGCCCUUGGCCAGUCAUGCUUCCUGCAGCCAGAGGUCUGCAAAGCACAUCUGAGUGACCACCACGUCCCCCACCCCACUGGAUAAGUAGUGAAACUGAGUCACAGAGGGAAGUUAAGUAACUUCUGAAAAGUCAGAACUAGUAGUAGAGGAACCAAGGCUUUGAUGCUCUGGUUUCAGAAGCCAUGCUGCUGAGCACUAUGCUAUAAGCUGUCUCCUGCCUAAGCCUACGUUUUUCACACCUUCAGAAACUGUUUAAAAUUCACAACAUUGUCUUUAACAGACAACUGCGUGUGCUUCACUGGGAAUACAGCCUUCAAGAAAAGGCACUCUAUAAUAGUUUCGUAGAUGCCCAUCAAAGCACAGUUACUACAUUCAUAAACCACCAAAAUUAGGACAGCAUUUCCUAAGCCUAGAUAACUAUAGAGCAGUCUAAAAAACUAAAAUAAAAAUCAUACAUCCAGAAUGACUCCUGAGCCCAUGAUGUGGAAUAAUUGAAAUGAUCACUAUUUCUUGUUUUAUUUCCAUCCCACCUCCAGCCCUUGACAACCACAAAUCAUUCUCUAUGUCUGGUCACUAUUCUUUUAAUAGCACAACAUCAAUCAACUCUAUUUCAUUAGGUCCUCAAAUCUUAGAAUACCUGAUGUAUGUUUCCAUUCUCUAGGACCAAGCAAGGCCAAAUUCUGAAUGAGAAACCACGUAUCACUGGGUGAAGAUUUUCUUAGUAGACUUGGAAACACGUCUCAGUAUCCUAAGUUUCUUUCCUACAAGUAAACAUUUCUAGAAAAAUUUUCUUUAUGGAAAAGGGACUACAGAACUGAAAGCCCUGGAGACAAAAGCUGCACAAGGCUCCCCCAGGGCCUCUCAUCACAUCUCAGGCUGAACCAAGUCCACCUGCCACUUGCUGUCUGGCUCCAGCUCUGAGGGUCAGUGCAGGCACCCCUGGCCUCCACAGCAGCCCGGGACCCUCGUCUAAUUCCCUCUGUGGCCAGGAUUGCAGCCAGCACCCAGGGCCCUGGGAGCAAAGACAUAAGGAACCAAAGCCACUCCUCAUUCACGCCUCACACCCAGGAGCUCCAGGGGCCCAAACGUCCCAUUUCUUUAAAGUCACCAGGGAGUAAACCUAUUAAAUUGUUCAAGAUUUCAAGGGCCAGUGAAAAGUUAUCCCAAACUAAGUAAAGUCUCCUCCUGGAAGCCAUUCAGUGGAGAACAUCCAUGCUGUGGCUUCCAUCCACCCCCACAAACACACUGAUCCCAGAAUGCACUGGGCCCUGAGACUACAGCUGGAAGCAGCUGGCACAUCUCAGAUCUUAGGUUUCACCAAAAAGUGUAUCAAGUGGGACAUUUCAGCUGGGUGGGGAUUGUGGGUGGUUUUUCCCUCAGAAUGGGUGUGUGAGAAUGUGGUGUCCUUUUCUCACCAUCCACCAAGCGAAGCUUUCAACGCACAGACAAACGUGAAAAGAAUCUCCUUUUCUAACACCCUGUUAAACUCUGGAAAUCGCCCAUUUGCAAAGAAAA
rnacentral:lncRNA from 1 species